AGGCGUAACUGUUCUAAAUUACCGGCGCAACUUCUCUCAGUCAGACAGCAGAGGGGGGUAGCCUUUAAUGAAGCAAGCCAUUAAGUGCGUCGGUAGUAUCCAUCGAGAUAUACUUGUGUGCACUGAUCACUUUCGUUUUAGUCUACAGUCCGCCCAGCUCACUUAACUACUUUUCCGAAGCUUGCACGUCCUGUAUUUUAUAGUGUGAACUAGGAGAAAGUAGGCAAUUGCGAUUACAAUUAUUAUUUAUUUGCACAAUUAUUGUCGGUGAAAUGGGCGACGGCUGUUUUAGAAGAGUUUGUCUAAUUUGGUAAUGGUGGAGUAAACAAUAUAUUUCGGAUGAGCGCAUUUCUGGUACUGUGGACUCUCAUUUUAUUUAAGCUUUGCCUCUGGACCCGGGAUUCAAAAGCAAAGUUGCUGCAGAUUUGGUCGGCUGCACAUUCAUUCAGCGAAUCUCCCAUUCCACCACAUUCCAAAGGUGCUCUAUUGGAUUGAGAUCUGGUGCCUGGAGGCCAUUGGAGUCCACUGAACUCAUUGUCAUGUCCGUGGAACCAGCUUAAGAUGUGUGCUUUAUAAUAUGGCACCUUAUCCUGCUGGACUAGCUGUCAGAAGAUGGGUAUACUGUGGACAGAAAGGGAUGCACAUGCUCAGCAACAAUACUCAGGUCUAAAUAGAGGACUUCCUUUGGUGGACUUGCAAGGAAUCUCUCGGCUGUGUGAAUAUUUCUGAGGAAGACAGUGAAAACACCGUUGACUACACAAUAGAGGGCAUUUUCAGUGACGUGACCCCAUUUUAUAUUGAGAAGCGUGAGGCAGGCCUGUUUCUUUUGCUGCUUUCGCUAUUGCCAGGACUGGCCUCCCAAUGGCGAGAUAUGGAUCUCUUUCUUUUUUUUGAGCUGUCUGUGUACUUACAUCUCCGUAGCAGAAGCACAGAGGCAGAGUAUAUCUGAAUUGAGGCAAUUCUUAUGUACACAUGAGCAAGAUUUUAAGACAUCUGGUUCUACUUAUUACACUCCUGGUUAUGAAACAAUCAGUGAUGCAUGUUUCAAUAAAACCCUGCUCUGUUACAUUGUGGAAACGCAGGUUAUUUUGUAUGAGACAAAGGGUGAAAGGUCUCCAAAUAUACUGGAACCAAUGGCAGAAGAAUUUCAAAAGGGCAUUGAGAGGCACAGCUGCCUACCGUGUGAAGCUUUUGAGGAAACCAACGCUACCACAUUUCUACAGAACUUCCACACAUUUUUACAAAAAAUAGAAGACGCAUUCCGAAACUCUCCUUCUGUUUAAUGUUGUGAAUAAGCUGUACAUGUAUUUUUCACAUGUCAACAUUUUUAUGCAGCAUAUUAGCUAUGUGUAGCAUCUCUAGGUUAUUGAAUUUUUUUAAAUGAUGCAUACAGUAUAAUCCUGUGUAAUAUAGAUAUAAUCCCUGAAAAGUCAAUGACUAUUUAAUAUACUCAUUAUUAAUAAGGAGUACUUAUACACUUUAUUAGGUAUUUAUUAAGACUUCUUUUUUAGACGUAUGGGUUUUCUGCUACUGUAGCCUAUUCACUUAUAGGUUUGACGUGUUGUGUUGAGAGAUGCAAUUCUGUACACCACUGUUGUAAUGUGUGGUUAUUUGCAUCACUGUCACCUUCCUCUCAGCUUUGACCAGUCUUCUCCUUCUCCACUGACCUCUCUCAUUAACAAGGCGUUUCUGCCCUCAGAACUGCUGCUCACUUGAUAUUUUUUUUGUUUUCCCCACCAUUCUCUGCAAACUCUAGAGGCUGUUGUGUGUGAAAAUCACACCACCCUGUGUGGCACCAACAACCAUUCCAUGGUCAGUCACUUAGAUCACAUUUAUUCCCCAUUCUGACAUUUGGUCUGAACAACAGCUGAACCUUUUGACCACAUCUGCAUGCUUUUAUGCAUUUAGUUGCUGCCACAUGAUUGGCUGAUUUAAAUAUUUACAUUUACAAGCUACCUAAUAAAUUGCUCACUGAGUGUACAUGUCUAACAUACCAAAACAAAGAUAUUUUGUACUUGCCUGAGAAGCAUAAAGCCAGCUGCUUGGGUUCAAACCACUGCCUAUAAGCUAUGGAAGAUAUGCUUUUGUAGCAAGCCAACCCCAGGCUCCUGAACAACCAGAUUUUUGUUGAAUACUGGCUGACUGAACCAUUCCCAACCCCAGGGGAUGCUACUGCCAAUUAUGUAUCACACUGUGGAGUCAGCGGGAGUCAACAGUCUCCACUGACAUACCAUGGGACCCAUGUAGCCACACAAUGCCAUAUAACUGUGAAAUAAAGUUCUGCUGUAUGCCA